rnacentral:rRNA from 1 species
AGAGUUUGAUCCUGGCUCAGGAUGAACGCUAGCGGCAGGCUUAACACAUGCAAGUCGAGGGGCAGCGCGUUGUAGCAAUACGGUGGCGGCGACCGGCGAAAGGGUGCGUAACGCGUGAGCAACCUGCCCGUAUCCGGGACAUAAGCGGUGGAAACGCCGUCUAAUUUCCCAUAACAACGAGGGCCGCAUGGUCCAUGUUUGAAAGAUGCGUCGGAUACGGAUGGGCUCGCGAGACAUUAGCUAGUCGGCGUGGUAACGGCACACCGAGGCGACGAUGUCUAGGGGUUCUGAGAGGAAGGUCCCCCACACUGGAACUGAGACACGGUCCAGACUCCUACGGGAGGCAGCAGUGAGGAAUAUUGGGCAAUGGGCGAAAGCCUGACCCAGCAACGCCGCGUGAAGGAAGAAGGUUUUCGGAUCGUAAACUUCUGUCCUUGGUGAAGAGAGAAAGACGGUAGCCAAGGAGGAAGCCCCGGCUAACUACGUGCC